rnacentral:rRNA from 1 species
UACGUAGGGGGCAAGCGUUUGUCCGGAAUCAUUGGGCGUAAAGAGCGUGUAGGCGGCUCGAUAAGUCUGCUGUGAAAGUCCAGGGCUCAACCCUGGAAAGCCGGUGGAUACUGUCGGGCUCGAGUCCGGAAGAGGCGAGUGGAAUUCCUGGUGUAGCGGUGGAAUGCGCAGAUAUCAGGAGGAACACCGAUGGGCGAAGGCAGGUCUCUGGGCCAUAACUGACGCUGAGAAGCGAAAGCAUGGGGAGCGAACAGG